UUCUGAGAUUUUAUGAGUUUGUCGACCAAACUUUGCCGUUUCAUAGAUUAAGUUUUCAUUGUUCUCAUUCUUCAACCCUUCAACGCCAGGAAUCUCUGUUGAUUUUCACAAGUCUGCAAAAACACGUUUCUUUCUCAACUCUUAACCUCCCAACUUUGUUCAUAUACAUAUUUUCGUUUGGGUUUGUUCAACGUAUUCCUCUUUAAUUUGACAAUGAAUUUUUCUUUCCCAUUAAUAAUCUCCAACUCUCCGUCUCCCUUCUCAGACAACGAACACCGUAAAUUCACCUCUCAAAUUCUAUAAAUUAGAGAUGGUUGGGUUGAGAGUAGGAUGAAUCUACACAGAUUCUCUCAGUUUAUCUUCUACCUCAAACCAAGCACCCGUCCACCACUCAACCUUUGAUCCUUUGAUGCUCUCCGACUCAUUAGAUCUUCUCAACUCGGGUAAUAGUUUUGGGACUCUCGAAACAUCAAGAAGAACGGUGAAUUCAUGGGAAUCACUUUACUUCUCCUUGAUGAAAAGGAUACGGUGAUCCGGCUGCUGAGCCACGUCCCGGGGGUGCUCGCGAUCCCACCGGAAUUGCAGACCUGAGAGUUGUUGGCGUUGGAGAAGAGAAGUGUCGCUAACCUCUUCGUAAAGCCAUAGCUCUCUAGGAUCGUUGGAGGAGUUGUGGGAAUCAACAGAUCUGCUCAGUAAUAGUAUAAGGUGUCGGUUGUUUAUGCGAUCUGUGGAGCAUUGUGUUGCAGAGAGAGAGCUUCUCCGAAUGGUGAGGCUGCAGCAGAAAGCAGUGACGUUGAGAAAAGAGCAUAAUUGAUGUGGCUUCAACCUUGGAACCUGAGGAAGCAGACAAUGGAGGAGGCUACAGUACUCUGGUCAACCAACCAAGGAGUAUAUCGACUAUGCAGUUAAACAUGUUAUGUUAUACAUGUGAUAGUUUCUUCUUCCGAGUUCCUCAUUCUCUUCUGAAUGGUUUAAGUACAAUAAAAAUAUCUGAAGCGAUUGUGAUUAAACCCCAUAAAUGUGCAGGGUUUGCUCGGAAUCAAGGUUAAUGUCAUGCUUGACUGGGACUCUAUUAGGAAGCUAGGACCAAUGACACCAUUACCAGAUGUCGUUAUCAUCCAUACUCCCAAAUGAAAAGAUGUUAAUUCCGCACCUGAUCAAUUGGAAGCUCCCCUCACCCUCACAGCCGUAGAUUACCCUGAGAUGAUCUCAGUCGUCUAGAAGAGAUGGCCAGGAAAGCCUCAUGUUCUUCAUAAAAGCAACCUUUUUAAUGGAGAGAACUUACUCUAUAUGUUGGAUUCAAUAUUGUCAUCACUCUUGAGAUAUAUGUUGAGAAGAGUGCUAAUGGAUGGGCGAGUCUGAUGGUGAGGGCCACUGAGUUGAGCAUUCCAGCAAAGCGGAAAACUCCUCCUUUGGUAUCUAUUUGCGCAAAGCAAGUGGAAAGAGUCACAAAAGUUGCUCAAAACCAUGAAAUUAUAAAGUCACAAGUGGUGAUUAGGGUUUAUUUUUUUCUUUUUACAGUUGUGAUAUGUGGGAUCAUUAUGAUUCACCCUGCUGGGCUGAGGGAGAAGCUAUCUUCAGACAUGUGAUUUGUUAUCUCUUAAAUUUAGCCAUUAUAGAGAGGUAGAGUAAGACCUUUACAGAUGUUAUGAAAUUAUUUAUGACUGUUGUUUUAUACAUUUUGCAGAUUGUCAUCACUCUUGAGAUAUAUGUUAUUGAGAAUAUUGUUUGGAUUC